rnacentral:rRNA from 1 species
GGCCAGACUCCUACGGGAGGCAGCAGUGGGGAAUAUUGCACAAUGGGGGAAACCCUGAUGCAGCGACGCCGCGUGAGUGAAGAAGUAUUUCGGUAUGUAAAGCUCUAUCAGCAGGGAAGAAAAUGACGGUACCUGACUAAGAAGCCCCGGCUAACUACGUGCCAGCAGCCGCGGUAAUACGUAGGGGGCAAGCGUUAUCCGGAUUUACUGGGUGUAAAGGGAGCGUAGACGGCAUGGCAAGUCAGAUGUGAAAGCCCGGGGCUCAACCCCGGGACUGCAUUUGAAACUGUCAGGCUGGAGUGCAGGAGAGGUAAGUGGAAUUCCUAGUGUAGCGGUGAAAUGCGUAGAUAUUAGGAGGAACACCAGUGGCGAAGGCGGCUUACUGGACUGUAACUGACGUUGAGGCUCGAAAGCGUGGGGAGCAAACAGGAUUAGAUACCCUCGUA